UACGUAGGCAGCAAGCGUUGUUCGGAAUUACUGGGCGUAAAGAGUGUGUAGGCGGUGCUCCAAGUCUGGUGUGAAAUCUCCCGGCUUAACUGGGAGGGUGCAUUAGAAACUGGAAUGCUAGAGGAUGGGAGAGGUAAGCGGAAUUCCUGGUGUAGCGGUGAAAUGCGCAGAUAUCAGGAAGAACACCUAUGGCGAAGGCAGCUCUCUGGGACGGUACUGACGCUGAGACGCGAAAGCGUGGGGAGCGAACAGG
rnacentral:rRNA from 1 species